GAUGAACGCUGGCGGUAUGCUUAACACAUGCAAGUCGAACGGACACGUCGGAGUUAUUGGCGGACGGGUGAUUAACGCGGGAUAAUCUGGCUGUGGGUUCGGGACAACCACUGUAAACAUUGGCCAAGACCGGAGGUGCUGAGAGGUGAAAGAGAAAGUGCCUGAAGAUGAGCUCGCGUGUGAUUAGCUAGUUGGUGGGGUAAAGGCUCACCAAGGCAGCGAUCAGUAGCUGGUCUGAGAGGAUGACCAGCCACACUGGGACUGAGACACGGCGCAGCCUCAUACGGGAGGCAGCAGUGAGGAAUUCUACGCUAUGGGAGAGAGGCUGACUGAGCAAUACCGCGUGUGGGAAGAAGGAUCUUGGGUUGUAAUCCUCUUUUCUUAGCGAAGAACAUAAUGACGGUACCUAAGGAAUAAGCAUCGGCUAACUACGUG
rnacentral:rRNA from 1 species